GCCCCCGUAGCUCAAUGGAUAGAGCGUAGGCCUCCGGAGCCUAAGAUAGGGGUUCAAUUCCUCUCAGGGGUA
rnacentral:tRNA from 1 species